GAGAUGCUAGAAGCGGUCGGACAUGAGUUCAUGG
rnacentral:sRNA from 1 species